UGGAGAAGCAGGGCACGUGCAU
rnacentral:ncRNA from 2 species